ACUCCUACGGGAGGCAGCAGUGGGGAAUAUUGCACAAUGGGGGAAACCCUGAUGCAGCCAUGCCGCGUGUGUGAAGAAGGCCUUCGGGUUGUAAAGCACUUUCAGUAGGGAGGAAGGUAGUGUAGUUAACACCUGCACUAUUUGACGUUACCUACAGAAGAAGCACCGGCUAACUCCGUGCCAGCAGCCGCGGUAAUACGGAGGGUGCGAGCGUUAAUCGGAAUUACUGGGCGUAAAGCGCAUGCAGGCGGCCUGUUAAGUCAGAUGUGAAAGCCCGGGGCUUAACCUCGGAAUUGCAUUUGAAACUGGCAGUCUAGAGUCUUGUAGAGGGGGGUAGAAUUUCAGGUGUAGCGGUGAAAUGCGUAGAGAUCUGAAGGAAUACCAGUGGCGAAGGCGGCCCCCUGGACAAAGACUGACGCUCAGAUGCGAAAGCGUGGGGAGCAAACAGGAUUAGAUACCCUGGUAGGAUAGCG
rnacentral:rRNA from 1 species